GGUGGCUGAGUGGUAGAGCUCUUGCCUUGCAUGCAUGAGGCCCUGGGUUCGAUUCCUCAGCACCA
rfam:Dipodomys ordii contig_57072, whole genome shotgun sequence.